rnacentral:rRNA from 1 species
AGCUUGCUCUUUCCGGAAUUGAGUGGCAAACGGGUGAGUAACACGUAAACAACCUGCCUUCAGGAUGGGGACAACAGACGGAAACGACUGCUAAUACCGAAUAAGUUCCAAGAGCCGCAUGGCCCAUGGAAGAAAAGGUGGCCUCUACCUGUAAGCUAUCGCCUGAAGAGGGGUUUGCGUCCAAUUAGCUAGUUGGUGAGGUAACGGCCCACCAAGGCGACGAUUGGUAGCCGGACUGAGAGGUUGAACGGCCACACUGGAACUGAGACACGGUCCAGACUCC